GUGAACGCCUGCGGUCGUCCCUAACCAUGCCAGGCGAACGGCAAGACAGCAAUACUUUCCUCUUACAGGCGGCGAGCGGAGGAGGGGUGAGGAAUACAUCGGCAUCUACUUUUUCGUGGGGUAUCACGCAGGGAAACUUACGCUCAUACCGCAUAUGACCUACGGGUGUAAGCAGAGGAUCUUCGGACCUUCAGCGAUUGAAUGAUCCGAUGUCGGAUUAGCUAGUUGGCGGGGUAAAGGCCCACCAAGGCGACGAUCCGUAGCUGGUCUGAGAGGGUGAUCAGCCACACUGGAACUGAGACACGGUCCAGACUCCUACGGGAGGCAGCAGUGGGGAAUAUUGGACAAUGGGCGCAAGCCUGAUCCAGCCAUGCCGCGUGAGUGAAGAAGGCCUUCGGGUUGUAAAGCCCUUUUGUUGGGGAAGAAAAGCAGCAAGUUAAUACCCCGCUGUUCUGACGGUACCCAAAGAAUAAGCACCGGCUAACUUCGUG
rnacentral:rRNA from 1 species